GAUGAAGAACGCAGCGAAAUGCGAUACGUAAUGUGAAUUGCAAAUUCAGUGAAUCAUCGAGUCUUUGAACGCACAUUGCGCCCCCUGGUAUUCCGGGGGGCAUGCCUGUCCGAGCGUCAUUGCUGCCCUCAAGCACGGCUUGUGUGUUGGGCCCCGUCCUCCGAUCCCGGGGGACGGGCCCGAAAGGCAGCGGCGGCACCGCGUCCGGUCCUCGAGCGUAUGGGGCUUUGUCACCCGCUCUGUAGGCCCGGCCGGCGAUUGUCGAUCAACCCAAAUUUUUAUCCAGGUUGACCUCGGAUCAGGUAGGGAUACCCGCUGAACUUAAGCAUAUCAAUAAGCGGAGGA
rnacentral:misc_RNA from 1 species